rnacentral:piRNA from 1 species
UCAAAAUUGUAUUUCGCAAAG